rnacentral:misc_RNA from 1 species
UCCGGCUUGUCACCGGCAGUCCCUCUAGAGUGCCCAACUAAAUGAUGGCAACUAAAGGCGAGGGUUGCGCUCGUUGCGGGACUUAACCCAACAUCUCACGACACGAGCUGACGACAGCCAUGCACCACCUGUCACUCUGUCCCCCGAAGGGGAAAGUCCUAUCUCUAGGAUUGUCAGAGGAUGUCAAGACCUGGUAAGGUUCUUCGCGUUGCUUCGAGUUAAACCACAUGCUCCGCUGCUUGUGCGGGUCCCCGUCAAUUCCUUUGAGUUUUAAUCUUGCGACCGUACUCCCCAGGCGGGAUGCUUAAUGCGUUAGCUGCGCCACUGACGAGUAAACCCGCCAACGGCUAGCAUCCAUCGUUUAGGGCGUGGACUAC